GCUGCAUCAUCUUGGCCCCUCUCGUGUUGCAAAGGACAGCUUGGCCAAGCUGUUGUCCUCUUCAGGAAAGGUCCCAGCCAUCAAAAGCAAGGCACCUUCUGACAGGAGCAAGCAGCCAGGAGCGUUGGAUGCUGGUGAAAGAAGGAGCAUGAUUCAACCACCUGAAGGCAUCUCCCUGUAGGAGAAUUACCUUCCCUAUAAAGCAGCAGGCAUUGCUCUUAAGUGUUGUCAAGCUUAAAUCGGUUCCCUAGGUGACAUCCUGGGUAAGGUACAAACUCCUGACUGAUACCAAAACCCACAAAGGGCAUAAGGAACAUCCAUUUCAGCUGGAGUGCUGAAGAUGCAGGCUUGGAGACUUGUGCAGGCUGUGUCCAUUUGUGAAGGGAACAGCUUCCAGCUCCACACAGCCUGGGCUGGCUCUGCCCAAACUGCCUGAGCUUUGUGCCUUAGCAACAAAGACAUCCUGGUUCUGGCUGCCCUGGCUGGGGUCCUCCAUGGAGCAGUUUGUCUUGAAGUACCCUGGGAAGUCACUGCAAUGUGAGCAUGGAUGCUACAUCCAAACCCAGGGCCAAGGAACUAGUCCAAAAUUCAGCUGAGAGCCUCUGAUCCUGGAGUCCAGAGCAUCAACGGUCAGGCAAUAGCAUUUAUCAGUGAGGCACUGCCAAACCCCACCAGCUGACCCUGCGCAGAAGAGGUCAGGUCAUUCCUUGCAGAGCCCUGCUUGGUGCAGGGCUUCUGAAGACGUGAGGGGUUCGUCCUGCUGGAGGAUCUGUGUGUUUUGCAAUCCAGAUACUCAGAACUUACUGGCCAUGGCAUCACACUGAUGGCAUCCAGGGACCUGGAAGACAACCCUGCCAGGACCAGGCAACAACUCAAGUUGUGAUGUUGUCCCUACUGCCUCCUUUUCCCAUCAGCUAUGUAACUCAGCACCUGAGUGGCUCACUGGCACCCAGGAUGACCUGGGAGACAUAUGGAGGCCAAAAUCUACCUGCCAGCUGUAGAUGGGGUCCAUCUGCUUCAAUGCAGUAACAUCUGAGGUCCAGAAAGGCUCCCAGCUGUGGCAUGCUGGCAGGUCACUUGAGAUCUCCAUCAGAGUGCAAGAUAGCAAAAGUCUCCAGAGACUACUUCUACACAAGCAUGAGACUGCUGCAGACUCUGAACUCUCAAUCCCCGUUUGUGGACUCUGAGCUCCUGAUGUUGCCCUCUUCAGUAAUAGGUUUUAGGAGAUACUUCAUCUUGGCUAGUCUGGGCUAGCCCAUGAGCACGUCCUACUGACUUCACCAGCAAGCAGGUCUGGCCUGGAGGUGCACUCCAAAAGCAGGAUUCAAAGCCAAGGAGGAGGAAGAUCUGAGGAAGGGAAGGAGUGGAGCAGACAUCCCUCUCAUCGUUCCAAAAGAACAUCCUGGAUUAUGUUGCUGCAAAUGAAAGGUUUCAGUCAUGAUAUCAGAUGAGCUGCAGUCUUCUCUUUUCCAGGCUAGCAAGACCAAGGUCUCUCAGCCUCUCCUUGCAAGACAGAUGCUCCAGUCUCCUAAUCAUCGUUGUGGCCUUCUGUUCUCUUGAACCGUGAAGCCCAGAACUGGACACAAUACUCCAGGCACAGCCUCACCAAGGCACUAAGUGCGAGUGCACCCAGAGGAGCACGCAAGCCUCAGCACUGCCUCAUCACCGAGUGAACUUCUGGGAGCUAACGGCACGUACUGCUGGACGGGCAGGUACCUUGCAUCCGAAUGCAGCCGC